UCUCCUUUUAUCUUUAUAAUACUGGGCAGUAUAAGAUUUGUUUCGAAAAGUACAAUUUCAACCAAAAUCAACAGUUGGUAAGGAGGAAGGUUAUUUGAUUCAUCAUAAAUAGAGUUAAUAUAUUUGAAUUUGCAAGGCGCUGCAUUUAAAAUACUUUUUGACCCUGGUUCUCCAUUGUACUGAGACAUUAAUAGGAUUUCUUCUACAUUGGAGAAUUUCCUAUAAAAAGUUAUGUUUUUGCUUUAGAAUUUUUCAAUCAUUAUUAGAUCGCUCUUUUGAUCAUCAACACAAUCCGUGUUAUGUUGAUUAACUACUUCCACCAUUAAAACCUUUAAAAAAAACAUUUAAAUACAUCAAUGAAAUUAAAAACAACUCCAAUGGAAUAUAUAAUUAGUAAGACAAAUAUUUAUUGUGUUACAUGAGUAUAAUUUGAAGGACACAACACGACCAAUACAUAAAUACAACCAACUUAUGACAUGAAUGAAGGAUAAACUUUUAAUUAGGCACACAAAUGUACCAUUGAAACAAUAACACAAAAAUAGAAAGAAAAUUCAAACAGGGAGGGUAAUUAAUUAAAUUAAACACUUUCUUUGGCUGCAAGAAAAGUAAGUAUAAAAGGAAGAAGAACAAUGAUGGCUGCAGGAUAACUUAGACUUCUUGGAGAGGCAGAGGGUGCAUUUGCAUUGUCAUAGUCAGAUCCGCUCCCAUAUUGAGCAGCCGCAACCGCAACUGCAACCACAAAACAAAUUAAGAACACUGUGAAUUUGAGUGGUGAACCCAUUACUAAUUAAACUAGGUGAUAAUAUUAAUUUCUUUGUUGCUUUGUACCAAAGUAGAUGAUUAAUAUAAAUAGUUGAGAAGGGUUGCACAAUUGCGGUUAGUUGAUUCUUAUGAAAUAAACAAACAAACAGAGAACUAAUGGUAUUAGCCUCUUAGGUGGCCUAAGACUUGCCUCCUAACAUGAUUCUUGGUUAUAUCUAUAAUGCAAUAUUAAAU
rnacentral:lncRNA from 1 species